UACGGGGGGGGCAAGCGUUGUUCGGAAUUACUGGGCGUAAAGGAUUCGUAGGUGGCUUGCUAAGUCAGACGUGAAAUCCCUCAGCUUAACUGGGGAACUGCGUCUGAUACUGGCGAGCUUGAGUGCAGGAGAGGAACGCGGAAUUCCAGGUGUAGCGGUGAAAUGCGUAGAUAUCUGGAGGAACACCGGUGGCGAAGGCGGCGUUCUGGACUGCAACUGACACUGAUGAACGAAAGCCAGGGAGCAAACGGG
rnacentral:rRNA from 1 species